rnacentral:rRNA from 1 species
GAUGAACGCUGGCGGCGUGCCUAAUACAUGCAAGUCGAGCGAACGGGCGAGAAGCUUGCUUCUCUGAUGUUAGCGGCGGACGGGUGAGUAACACGUGGAUAACCUACCUAUAAGACUGGGAUAACUUCGGGAAACCGUAGCUAAUACCGGAUAAUAUUUUGAACCGCAUGGUUCAAAAGUGAAAGACGGUCUUGCUGUCACUUAUAGAUGGAUCCGCGCUGCAUUAGCUAGUUGGUAAGGUAACGGCUUACCAAGGCAACGAUGCAUAGCCGACCUGAGAGGGUGAUCGGCCACACUGGAACUGAGACACGGUCCAGACUCCUACGGGAGGCAGCAGUAGGGAAUCUUCCGCAAUGGGCGAAAGCCUGACGGAGCAACGCCGCGUGAGUGAUGAAGGUCUUCGGAUCGUAAAACUCUGUUAUUAGGGAAGAACAUAUGUGUAAGUAACUGUGCACAUCUUGACGGUACCUAAUCAGAAAGCCACGGCUAACUACGUG